CUACGGGUCGCUGCAGUGGGGAAUAUUGCACAAUGGGCGCAAGCCUGAUGCAGCCAUGCCGCGUGUAUGAAGAAGGCCUUCGGGUUGCAAAGUACUUUCAGCGGGGAGGAAGGGAGUAAAGUUAAUACCUUUGCUCAUUGACGUUACCCGCAGAAGAAGCACCGGCUACUCCGUGCCAGCAGCCGCGGUAAUACGGAGGGUGCAAGCGUUAAUCGGAAUUACUGGGCGUAAAGCGCACGCAGGCGGUUUGUUAAGUCAGAUGUGAAAUCCCCGGGCUCAACCUGGGAACUGCAUCUGAUACUGGCAAGCUUGAGUCUCGUAGAGGGGGGUAGAAUUCCAGGUGUAGCGGUGAAAUGCGUAGAGAUCUGGAGGAAUACCGGUGGCGAAGGCGGCCCCCUGGACGAAGACUGACGCUCAGGUGCGAAAGCGUGGGGAGCAAACAGGAUUAGAUACCCUUGUAGUC
rnacentral:rRNA from 1 species